rnacentral:rRNA from 1 species
UACGGGGGGGGCAAGCGUUGUUCGGAAUUACUGGGCGUAAAGGGCUCGUAGGUGGCCAACUAAGUCAGACGUGAAAUCCCUCGGCUUAACCGGGGAACUGCGUCUGAUACUGGAUGGCUUGAGUUCGGGAGAGGGAUGCGGAAUUCCAGGUGUAGCGGUGAAAUGCGUAGAUAUCUGGAGGAACACCGGUGGCGAAGGCGGCAUCCUGGCCCGCAUCUGACGCUGAGGCGCGAAAGCGUGGGGAGCAAACAGG